UGCCAGCCGCCGCGGUAAGACGAGGGGUCCUAGCGUUGCUCGGAAUCAUUGGGCGUAAAGCGGGUGCAGGUGGCCUUGCAAGUCAGAAGUGAAAGCCCCGGGCUUAACCCGGGAAGUGCUUUUGAUACUGCUAGGCUUGAGUGUGGGAGAGGAUAGUGGAAUUCCAGGUGUAGUGGUGAAAUACGUAGAGAUCUGGAGGAACACCAGCGAGGAAGCUGGCUGUCUGGCCCAACACUGACACUCAGACCCGAAAGCGUGGGGAUCAAACAGGAUUAGAUA
rnacentral:rRNA from 1 species